rfam:Sulfolobales archaeon AZ1 contig04, whole genome shotgun sequence.
GCGGCCGUAGUCUAGCCUGGUAGGACGCUGGCCUCCCAAGCCAGUGAUCCCGGGUUCAAAUCCCGGCGGUCGCA